CCCAGUAAACGGCGGCCGUAACUAUAACGGUCCUAAGGUAGCGAAAUUCCUUGUCAGGUAAGUUCUGACCCGCACGAAAGGCGUAACGAUUUGGGCGCUGUCUCGGCAGCAGACUCGGUGAAAUCUUAGUACCUGUGAAAAUGCAGGUUACCCGCAACUAGACGGAAAGACCCCAUGGAGCUUUACUGUAGCCUGAUAUUGAAUUUUGAUCAAAGAUGUACAGGAUAGGUGGGAGGCGAAGAAGAUUGCACGCCAGUGUAGUCAGAGCCGCUGUUGGGAUACCACUCUUGUUUGAUUGAAGUUCUAACCUGCACCCAUGAACUGGGUGAGGGACCGUGUCAGGUGGGCAGUUUGACUGGGGCGGUCGCCUCCUAAAGAGUAACGGAGGCGCCCAAAGGUUCCCUCAGAAUGGUUGGAAAUCAUUCGCAGAGUGUAAAGGCACAAGGGAGCUUGACUGCGAGACCUACAAGUCGAGCAGGGACGAAAGUCGGGCUUAGUGAUCCGGCGGUGCUGAAUGGAAAGGCCGUCGCUCAACGGAUAAAAGCUACCCUGGGGAUAACAGGCUGAUCUCCCCCAAGAGUCCACAUCGACGGGGAGGUUUGGCACCUCGAUGUCGGCUCGUCGCAUCCUGGGGCUGUAGUAGGUCCCAAGGGUUGGGCUGUUCGCCCAUUAAAGCGGUACGCGAGCUGGGUUCAGAACGUCGUGAGACAGUUCGGUCCCUAUCUGUUGUGGGCGUUGGAGAUCUGAGGAGAGCUGUCCUUAGUACGAGAGGACCGGGAUGGACCUACCGCUGGUGCACCAGUUGUUCCGCCAGGAGCAUAGCUGGGUAGCUAAGUAGGGAAGGGAUAAGCGCUGAAAGCAUCUAAGCGCGAAGCCUACUCCAAGAUGAGAUCUCCCAUUCGUAUAACGAAGUAAGACCCCUUGAAGACGACGAGGUGGAUAGGUCAGAGAUGGAAGUGUAGCGAUACAUGGAGUUGACUGAUACUAAUAGGUCGAGGACUUAAUCAC
rnacentral:rRNA from 1 species